CUUAUUUUCUCAUUCACCUUCGACUGUCGCUGCCACCUCGACUGCCUCCAAUCAAACCCUGCUGCUUUGACCGUACCACUGCAGCCGCCUCCUCCUCUAAAUCCAACCGCCCUAUCCUCCAAUUUCAAUUCUGAUGGCCUGAAGCGGCCUGAGCGGAGAAUAUGUGGGAGGAGGAGGGGGGAGGCAACUGCUGGCAACAAUGGGG
rnacentral:lncRNA from 1 species